AGAGUUUGAUCAUGGCUCAGGACGAACGCUGGCGGCGUGCUUAACACAUGCAAGUCGAGCGGUAAGGCCCUUCGGGGUACACGAGCGGCGAACGGGUGAGUAACACGUGGGUGACCUGCCCUCAGCUCUGGGAUAAGCUUGGGAAACUGGGUCUAAUACCGGAUAUGACCUCUCAUCGCAUGGUGGGUGGUGGAAAGUUUUUCGGCUGGGGAUGGGCCCGCGGCCUAUCAGCUUGUUGGUGGGGUGAUGGCCUACCAAGGCGACGACGGGUAGCCGGCCUGAGAGGGCGACCGGCCACACUGGGACUGAGACACGGCCCAGACUCCUACGGGAGGCAGCAGUGGGGAAUAUUGCGCAAUGGGCGGAAGCCUGACGCAGCGACGCCGCGUGGGGGAUGACGGCCUUCGGGUUGUAAACCUCUUUCGACCGGGACGAAGCGCAAGUGACGGUACCGGUAGAAGAAGCACCGGCCAACUACGUGCCAGCAGCCGCGGUAAUACGUAGGGUGCGAGCGUUGUCCGGAAUUAUUGGGCGUAAAGAGCUCGUAGGCGGUGUGUCGCGUCGGUCGUGAAAACUUGGGGCUUAACCCUGAGCUUGCGGUCGAUACGGGCAUCACUGGAGUUCGGCAGGGGAGACUGGAAUUCCUGGUGUAGCGGUGAAAUGCGCAGAUAUCAGGAGGAACACCGGUGGCGAAGGCGGGUCUCUGGGCCGAUACUGACGCUGAGGAGCGAAAGCGUGGGGAGCGAACAGGAUUAGAUACCCUAGUAGUCC
rnacentral:rRNA from 1 species